rnacentral:rRNA from 1 species
AUUGAACGCUGGCGGCAGGCCUAACACAUGCAAGUCGAACGAGUGGCGGACGGGUGAGUAAUGUCUGGGACACUGCCUGAUGGAGGGGGAUCACUACGGGAAACGGUAGCUAAUACCGCAUACCCUCAGGUGUGCCCAGAUGGGAUUAGCUAGUUGGUGGGGUAACGGCUCACCAAGGCGACGAUCCCUAGCUGGUCUGAGAGGAUGACCAGCCACACUGGGACUGAGACACGGUCCAGACUCCUACGGGAGGCAGCAGUGGGGAAUAUUGCACAAUGGGCGCAAGCCUGAUGCAGCCAUGCCGCGUGUAUGAAGAAGGCCUUCGGGUUGUAAAGUACUUUCAGCGGGGAGGCGUUACCCGCAGAAGAAGCACCGGCUAACUCCGUGCCAGCAGCCGCGGUAAUUC